UAAUUUGGCUCAUUUAUAUCAUCGAACUAUAGGAAAUUACUCAUUUAUGCCACUCAUCAAUAGUUUGACUCAUUUAUGCUAUCGCCCGUUAACAAAAUGACUCAUCCAUGUCAUAUUUCAUUAAAGCUGAUUUUACAAUUCCAUAUAUGACACGUGGCCUUCAACUAGAUUAUGGUUGUGGGUGGUUAAGGUGUAUGGGUCAGAUUUUUUUAUUAAUUUGGUAUUUAAAAUUGGGCUGGUUUAAUUAAACGACGUAGACCUCUAAUUGGAGGUCACGCGUCAUAUCUGGUAUUAUAUAACCGACGUUAAUAAAAAAUGGCAUGGAUGAGUCAUUUUGGUAACGGGCGAUGGCAUAAAUGAGUCAAACUAUUGAUAAAUGGCAUAAAUGAGUCAUUUCCUAUAGUUCGAUGGCAUAAAUGAGUCAUUUCCUGUAAUUCGAUGGCAUAAAUGAGCCAAACUAUUGACGAGUGGCAUAAAUGAGCCAAUUCCGAUAGUUGGAUGGUAUAUUUGAGUCUUUUCCGUUUUAUCUAAAUUUAACUUCUAGAGCUAAAGCAAACGAACCACUGCUUAUAGUGUACACGACAAAGAGUACAACUCCAACAGGCUCUCUUCGAUUUGUUCUCUUUGAAGACGAGAUCAUACCAAUUGCCGAAGCACAACAACAACCCCCGGUAAGAACAAUAAUAAAUUUUAUGUAUCAUUUUAUCAAAUCUUACAGGGCCAAAUAUUUUACAUAGAAGCUGAACUUUCACUGCCAAAUGAAAACCAGAGGUUCUUCGCUUUAGCCUGUUCAGACUGCAAGAAGCUGUUCACACGAAUUUCGCGGAGGACAUUUUACCGUGCAACUUGUCGUCGAUCCACAGACCUUAUUCCAGGGUAUAACAAAUAGCUAUGGAUUUGGAAGCCGUGGGGUCGGGUGACUUUCCUGCCGACAAAUUAGAAAUCAUUCAAAAGACCAUCUUCUUCUCUGUAUUUUUCAUAAAAACUCUUCAUCUCUCUCUCUUUCUCCACAUUUUUUGUCUGGAAAACAUCAUCCAGAUUUGCCUCUCCUAGCUAUAACCAUAUCAAGAAUCUAAUUUUGUCAUGUAUAAUUGAUAGCUGUUUACAUUCACCUAUUUUUGUCUCAUAUGCAAGUAUGCACAUUCAUUGUAGUUUCCUUUUUAUUAUCUAUUGUUAGCAAUUUGAAAUAUUUCUCUAGAUAUAGAACAUAUUUUCUUAUUAUCGUUAGAUUCCUUCGUUAAUUAGUUGACUCGGGUAUGAACUUAUCCUAUUUACUUUUAUAAUAGAUAUCAAUUCCAUAUAAUUGCUUACAUAUACUUUCUCACAAGUACUUAUUCUAAUUAUUUUUACGAGUGAUGUCAAUUUGAAGUCACUGUCAUGGACAACACUGGUUCUGCAACGGCACUUAUCGCGGACGAACCCGCUGAAACUAUGUUUCAUCUCACCGCAGAAGAAAUCUACAAUAUUCGUUGUGUCAAGAAGGAAGUGCUACCUCUUGCAAAUGUGACAAGGCAACUAACUGGCAAGACGUUUAACAUUCAAAUGAAGAGAUCGUUCACAAAAAAUAUGGAUGCAGCACCCGCAAAAUUAAUCGUUUGAUCCUUUAUGCAAAAAGAGAACGCUAUUGAUACACAAUUGCCACCUAUACUAAUGGACAUUCCAGCAAGCAGCAAGAGGAAAAUUGAUGAUAACCAAAAGGAAAUGAAAAUUGCUACUCCGAGAAACUAUCGAAAGUUGUUGCCAACAAAGAAACUUUUUGGUGCUUUUCAGAAAUCUCCCUGGUAAUUAUCAGCUAUCUCAACAUUACCAUGUUCAAAAUCCUUUUCAAUCUUAUAUUUUUCACACACUAAUUGUUCACCUUGUCUAUGUUAUGCAGCAGAUACCAAUAUUCUCACCAAAGAUUACAAGAGAAGUGUCUGCGCCGCAGCUAACCUUCAAGUCAAUGUAUCGCAUUUUGUUAAUAUGUAAAUAGAAUGUAUAUAGCUAUUGCGUAAAUCUCUGUUCAACUUGGAUAACUUGGCUCCGUAUCAAAAUGUAUGUAAAAAUUUUAUGUUCUUGGUCUAUAUUCAACUUGUAAAACUUGGCUCCUUAUCAAAAUGAAGUAUAUGUUCUUGG